rnacentral:rRNA from 1 species
UACGGAGGGUGCAAGCGUUAUCCGGAUUUACUGGGGUUAAAGGGUGCGUAGGUGGGCAGUUAAGUCAGUGGUGAAAUCUCCGGGCUUAACCCGGAAACUGCCAUUGAUACUAUCUGUCUUGAAUAUCCUGGAGGUGAGCGGAAUAUGUCAUGUAGCGGUGAAAUGCUUAGAUAUGACAUAGAACACCAAUUGCGAAGGCAGCUCACUACGGUGUUAUUGACACUGAGGCACGAAAGCGUGGGGAUCAAACAGG